rnacentral:rRNA from 1 species
UACGAAGGGGGUUAGCGUUGUUCGGAAUUACUGGGCGUAAAGCGCGCGCAGGCGGUCCUUUAAGUCAGGGGUGAAAGCCCAGAGCUCAACUCUGGAACUGCCUUUGAAACUAGAGGACUUGGGUACGGGAGAGGUGAGUGGAAUUCCGAGUGUAGAGGUGAAAUUCGUAGAUAUUGGGAAGAACACCGGUGGCGAAGGCGGCUCACUGGCCCGUUACUGACGCUCAGGCGCGACAGCGUGGGGAUCAAACAGG